AAGUGGGAUGUGAGAAGGGUUCAACAUACACACAUCAAUCAAUGUGAUAAAUCAUACAACAAAAUAAAGGAUAAAAACCACAUAAUCAUUUCAAUGAAUGCUGAGAAAGCAUUUGAUAAAAUUCAACAUUGCUUCAUAAUAAAAAGGUACAUAUUCACAAUGGAGCAUGAUUCUGUGAUAAAAAGAAUGUGAUUCAAUCACUUGCAACAACAUGGAUGGAACUGGAGAUCAUUUUGUUUAACAAAAUGAAUCAGAUACAGAAAGACAAACAUCGCAUGUUCUCACCUAUUUGUGGGAUCUGAAAAUCAAUAUCCAUACUAUCCAAAGUGAUCUACAGAUUUAAUGUAAUUCCUAACAAAAUUCCAAUAUCAUUUUUCAAAAAAAUAGCAAAAAAUCCUAAAAUUAGUAUGUAACCACAAAAGUCCCCAAAUAGCAAA
rnacentral:lncRNA from 1 species